rnacentral:rRNA from 1 species
AUUGAACGCUGGCGGCAGGCUUAACACAUGCAAGUCGAGCGAGCGGCGGACGGGUGAGCAAUGUCUGGGAAACUGCCUGAUGUAGGGGGAUAACUACUGGAAACGGUAGCUAAUACCGCAAACCAUCAGAUGUGCCCAGAUGGGAUUAGCUAGUCGGUGGGGUAAUGGCUCACCUAGGCGACGAUCCCUAGCUGGUCUGAGAGGAUGAACAGCCACACGGGAACGGAGACACGGCCCAGACUCCUACGGGAGGCAGCAGUGGGGAAUAUUGCGCAAUGGGCGAAAGUCUGAUGGAGCCAUGCCGCGUGUGUGAAGAAGGCCUUCGGGUUGUAAAGCACUUUCAGCGGGGAGGCGUUACUCGAAGAAGAAGCACCGGCUAACUCCGUGCCAGCAGCCGCGGUAAUAC